AAUUCCAGAAUAUAGGCAGUUUACUGGUCAACUUAGAAAGUUUCCAGUAAUGUACCCUCCCUUUGCAACCCUACCUGGUACCCAGUAACACACACACGCGCAAACACGCACACGUGAGCACACACACAGGCACACAUGCUCUCACUGAAGCAUCACUGUUCCAGAUCAUUCUCAUAGAGAAACAUCCUGAGACAGGGGACAAGGGUAACCUCGACUCUGUAGGAGCAGAGAGCUCUGCUUUUCUUUCCCUCCAUUUUCUUCCUCCCUCCUUCUCUCCCUCGCUCACUCCCCCUGUUCUCUCUCCCUCCUCUUGCUCCCUAUUUUCUCUCUGUCUCUCUGUCUAUGAAUAGGCCCUUGAUGUGUGAUUCAGUUUGUCCCAGCUUCACAGUGAAGAGCUCAUUGAGUCUUGUUCUCUCCCUCUCAGAGAGACCUUCUAUAUCUGGAGAUAUUUAGAGGUCUCAUAUCCUGUUGUUGAGCAAUGGAAGAUAGACAACACUGUCUGUGUGUGUGUGUGUGUGUGUGUGUGUGUGUGUGUGUGUGUGUGUGUGUGUGUGUGUGUGUGUGUGUGUGUGUGUGUGUGUGUGUGUGUGUGUGUGUGUGUGUGUGUGUGUGUGUGUGUGUGU